ensembl:lncRNA
GGAAGGAUGGAACUUCACCCAGGCUCACAGCAAGCAGACUUCCUGAUGGUGAGGCCCCACCCUCAGCCUCCAGAGGAUCUUUCUCUCCGCCUGCGUGUUGUCAGAGCAGCUGCCCUGGAAGCACGGCUCUAGACAGUGACCGCACGAGUGCCGGGGCAGGUGGGUGUGGGGUCUGACUCAUGGGAUGUGACUCAGGGUCCUGGGUGUUGGAGUCAGAGAGACCGUGGCGGGGGUGCUCACUUGGGCAGGCAAUGCAACUGUUUCGUCAGGAGUCUGGGAAGAUUCCACAUGCCACGGGGCAACUCAGCCCAGGCACCCCAACUACUGAAGCCCUCAUGCCCUGGAGCCUGUGCUCUGCAACAAGAAAAGCCACCGUAAUGAGAAGCCCAAGGACCACAACUAGAAAAACCUACAAGCAGCAACGAAGACCCAGUGCAGUCAUAAAUAAAUAAAAACUCUGCCUCUUCGAAAUGAUGACUGUUACAGGAGGCUUUGAUUCAUCUCCUUCUGAAGUUGGCCUCUGCUUCUACAUAUGCACAUGGACAAUUUUCAUGAAUGGAGUCAAGUUUUGCAUGUUGGCCUGCAAGCUGCUUCUGUCACUUAAUGAUGCGUCAGAUAUUUCUUGCUUGACUAGUAUAGGAGCUGAACUUAGAGGAUGCUAAUAUUCAUUUAAAAGAACCUUCGGAGCGCACACAGCAGGUGUGGCAUAUUGCCAUCGGUCCUGUGGGGCAGAGAGAGGAAAAGUCGACCUUCAGGUCCUGGAAGCCCUGGUGGGACCCAGUGGCCAGCCUUGGGAGAGCACUCAGGCCGCACCGCCCCCCAGGCUUGCUCCGAAGGAUUAUCUUGGCUGUUCUGGGUCUCUUGCAAUUCCAUUUGAAUUUUAGAAUCAGCUUUCCAGUUUCUACAAAGAUGUCAGCUGGAACCGCACUGCAUCCGUGUAGAUCACUUUGCGGAGUAGUGCCAUCUUAAUAUUGUGGAGUCUCCUGAUCCAUAAACGUUUUUCCAAUUAUCUAGAUCUUCUUUCAUUUCUUUUACAGUUUUGUAAUUUUCAGGGUAUAAGUUGUUGUGCUUCUUUGGUUAAAUUUACUUCUAAGUAUUUCACUCUUUUUGAUGCUUUUGUAAAUGGAAUUGUUUUCUUCAUUUCCCUUCUGGACGGCUCAUUGAUUUUCAAACAAAUGCUUAUUGUGCUCAGCACCGUGAGAGAUGCUGGGGAUGUAGCAAUGAGCAUAUUAUGAGGAUGAACAAGAUAAUAUAUUAAAGUAUAAU